CCAAAGCUGUUGUUUGAACGAUCACAAUUUGUCCCUUGCAGACAAGAAUUGCUGCUGCCUACAGCACUACAUGAAGUGUGUGCAGAGCCAGACACGUUUUGUGCGGGACUUCAUGGUCCUGACUCUGGGAAAAAAACAGACCCCAUAUAGAUCCCCACCUCAGCUCUACAGAAUGCAUGAAGGCUGAACAGUGGGAUUUUAGCACUCCUGACCAGCUGUCCUUGCAAAGUGCUGAACACGAGUGCUUUGGUUCUGCAUCUGUUUCAGUAUCCUUAAGUCUGAUGUUUUGAGAGCCGCCUGAGAGCUUGGCACCCACCUCCUAUUGCAUUUAGACACUUCUUUGAAAAAAAAGAUCUAACCUAGGAGUGACAUUCAGAAGGCGGCUGUAAAUACAAAAUGUGGCUCUGGGCAGCCUGGUCUUGUGGUUGGCGACCCUGCACAUAGCAGGGGGGGGUGAAACUAAAUGAUCAUUAUGAUCCUUUUUGAACCAGGCCAUUCUAUGAUUCUAUGAAAUAUGCUUUAAAAUGGCUUGAAUAUGGCAAAGACGACAGCAGUAUCCACAACAUUCCUGCAAAAAUAAGAUCAAGGCUGACUCAGUUGGCCCUUCUGCCCACACUGAUGCUGUGAUAAGGAUUGCAUGGGAGUAUGUAGGCACCAGCUGUAGAUUGUCCUGUUGCAUCACUGCUCCACAGCGUCCCUGCUCAUUUUGCAAUCCCAGUAAAGCAAAAGUGCUGCUGUGUAAAUGUACCUGAUGGACGCAUGUGACAGGUGUGUUUCAGAGGGACUCUGUGCUGAUGUGGACAGUUCUGUGGCAAUAAUGACAUGGUGACACUGAGGUAUAGCGGUGUUGUCUGUGCCAUUUCAAAGAGGGAACAUGCAUUUCUGAGGGAAACGAUUAUUAAUCUAGGCAUGUGUAUACAGGAAUGUUGGUUCUUAUAUUAAUUUUAGGACCAAACCAGUUGGUGGACCAAGUUCAACAAAAUCCAGAGAGAAAACAUGCACUGAAUUUUCCAAGUCAAAUAACAGAUGUAUUAAUUUCACUCUCUGAAACAAAAGCAUGGGGGAAAAAAAAAACAAAGGAAAGCUUCUCUAAGCAAAAUUAUUACCCUUCUUUUUUUAAUGGCUGACCAAAGAGAAGAAAUGGUUGCAGUUCCACAUACUUGCAAAUCCGUCUCUCACAUGUGGGAUUUCAGAACUUGAGGGCAGAUUUCUGUUGCCCGAGGUGGCUGCUGACCCCCCCACAGCUGCCAUGCACCCCACAUCACUGCGGAGAUUGUCUGAUGACCACAGCAGCAGCAGGAAGGCAAAAGAGUUUGUUUGGAUUUGACUAAGGGAUUUGGUUUUGACCAAGAGUAGUCCUGACACUGCCUUUGGAGGGUCCCAGACAUGCAGCCUAAAAGAUGAAUAAACUAAUAUCCACUGCC
ensembl:lncRNA